AUGAAGGCAAACCUGAGGAAAACACCUGUUAUGCUCAUGUCGCCCAUCUCCUUCAAAUGUAGCUGAGAGCACGGCAACUCACAACAGAAGAGAGGGGGCCCUGGUUGUUUUAAAGUUCCACGGUUAUGCAUCUUGCUGAAUGAAUACAUCCACUUGUAAAGCUGUAAGUCUAAAAAUGAAAAGCUGCUGGCAUCCCCCAUGCAGAGGAAUUGAUAGAAGGGAAAUAAGAUGGUGUUAAAACCUAGUCACCCAGAAGAGCUGCUCACCCAGACGUCAUCUGGAAGCUGAGAACUGUGGUUGUCAUGAUGGAAGCUAUUCACUGGAGGAAAAGCAAUUACUUGGCACAUACUGUAAUACCGUGUAGUAGCCCAGCGUAAGAUGGCAAUACAAGGGGAGGCAGAGGAGAUGAAACAACCUGGAGUAAGUAACACCCAUGGAGCAAUGCAGAAUAAAGAGGGCAGGAGUGAAUUGUCUGCUUUCAGCAGUUUCACCAAGACAAUCAACUAAUCCUUAGACUCCAAAUAUACAUACAUGCACACAUUUUAUAAAAUUGGAUUUUUAAACAUAAAUGUUUUCAUACACAUGAAGAUUGUAUUUAAGGUAUUUCCUACAAAUAUUCUAUUUGCCUCAUGUCAUUUCCAUCUCAUCAAAGGUUGAGGAUGCCGAAGUAAUUUAUAGGCACCUGUGUGCUCACAGAUCUUAUGUGCUUAGCCCAGAGAUGUCUCUUCUACAUAUGCAUCACUGUACAGAGUAUCUGUGGAUCUGUGGGAAGAGAAAAAAAAAAAAAAGAAGAAAAAAAAAGCUAUUGUGCCAAAUCCAGUCUCUGACAAAGCAUACACAGCCCUACAUUGAUGGUAACUGCUGACUGCUAGAUGGCUUCUUAGAGAGGGCAGAAUGGAGAUUCAUGCAACGUGUGAAAACUUGACAUUUCCUCAAGUUUCUUUCCUUCCAUAGGUUGCUCAACUUUUUCAGGUAAAGAAAAAAAGAAUAAAACAAAUUUUGUUAAACUUUCAGGAAAAGGUCAACCAACUAUAUCAAAGUCAUAGUGGUGGGCAAAAGAUAGGAGAAGAUUUCAGAGUUUUUGGAGUUAAAGAAACAUUUCAAAAUAUUAAUAAUGAACAACAGCUGAAGACAAUGAAUGUAAUCAUGGGAAGAAUACUUCCAUUUCAGGUAACCAAUUUUAGGCCUCUUACCCACCCAGUCUCCCAUGGGCUCUUCUACAGCCCAUGGCAGAAGAGCAGAAGACAAGUUGCUUCAGGAGAAUAUCAAGAAUGAAUCUGCAUUAGUAGCUCAGCACACGAGUGCAGUUUAGAUUGCAACCACGUACUCUCCCCUGUUUCAAAUUGUGUGGUCUCUGCACAUGAAUGAGAUUUGGCUGAAACGUACUCCAGCCACUACUGGCAGUCAGUUUACAGGAGCAGACGAGCUAAACUGACGUAAGUCUCAGGGUAAGUCUAGUUACCUAUCUCAGGCUUCUCAGACUAGAUACUGAAAGCAGAGAGUGGAAACACUCCUCUCCUCUCUCAUCUGUGUCUGUGUUUACAAAUGAGGCUCCCACACAACGGAGGAUUCCUUCCUCCUCUAAUUAAAUUGACGAGUUGACUGUGGUGAGUGGCUACACUGAGUCUUUUCACUUCUUAAGAAUUCAUGUUGUAAGCAGUCUCUCUGCUUGACCAUUAAUUUAAAUACUCCUGCAAAAUCUAGAUUAUUUGAUGUUUUUCUCACUUUCAUGCAGGCUUGCAAGGGCCUUAAAAGCAUUAACUCAAUGUGAGGUCACAGAAUUAUUUUAGCUGUGGAUCAGUUGCUUAAUAGCAGUUUUCUCAGAGUCAUGUCAUCACGCAGGCUGUAAGGCUCAAGUUACUUUUACUCGUGGAUAACGAAUGAAGAAAGAAAAGGUUACAAGACAUUUCAAGUAUAAAUCCAUUUUAAUUAAUACCCCAAAACAUUUCUGCAGCAUGUUUAGA